GAGGUUGGUAGAGGGGAAUGUCAGACAAGAAUUGCUAAGUUGUUGGCUUGAUGAAUUUGGUUGCUAAGCUAGGAUAUGGUAUGAAGUGCUUUUGUGAUUAGGACCUCUUUGAUGUGGAUUGUAAUAUUGUAGAGGUGAUGAUUCUAAUUUUUAAAUCAUGUGAGUCCCUGCUGUUUUCAAACCUCUUUCAGAGAGACUGCCUGUUUGUUUUUCUUGAGGACAAGCAAAAUGGUAAGUUUGGGGGAGUUGAUAGACCAUGGAUUUGAUCUAUUUUCGUCCAUGGUUUAUAAGUGUUUUUACUAUUUAUUAUUAUAUUAUAGAGUCUAUUUGUUAUAUUUAUAAGAUCAGGAGUGAUUUGGAGAUAAUUGAUGAUUUUGGAGCAUUUUGGAG
rnacentral:lncRNA from 1 species